AAUGGGGAGGAUUUUGCUGAUGGAAGAAGUCAAAUUAAGAAAUGAGCAAACAGCCCCUUUGAUGAUAAGGAAGGCUGAAAUGUUGCAUGCGGACCACCCAUGGGGAUCAUUCCUUGCCUGGAAGCUGCUCUGUAGCUGGCAUGGAUGUCCAGAAGUACUUCCACCUAGUCUCAGCAUUAACCUCUUCAGUGCUGGGUGUACAAACCAAGAGGAAUCUCAACUGCCUGCCUCGUUGGUAGGUCUUGAGCAAUGACCCUCAGCACCUCUGGAAAGGGCCACGUGGCUCCUCAUCAAUAAGCCAUCGUGAAGGGAAAAUCUAUCAGGCAGCUGCCUUUUAAUUAGAGGAUAGCUAAGUGCUACCUUAUGAUCCAUGAGGUGAUGCAUAUUUAAUAACACCAGCUCCCAUCUGCUGUUGCCUAGUGCUGUGUUUUAGGAAGUGCAGACUGGAAAGCCCUCUUUGAUGUUUCUUCAUGCUGGCUGCUCUUUGAAACAGGGAAAGCACAGUGACUCGCUGGCCACGGGUGCUUCAGCCAUUCCAAGAACAGGGGAAGGCCAUUUUGUGAAGGAAGAGC
ensembl:lncRNA